GGGGCAGGGAGCCCCGAGUGCCGCGGAGAGGGAGGGAGCGGAGCGCCAGACCCAGGUGCAGGGGCUUUGCAACCCUUGCCUUUGCCGCAGACAACUUAGCAUGUGCCCCCAACUCUUCCAGAAUCAACAUUUCUAAGCACCUACAUCCCUACUCUUUAAGUUGAACACCUGUUUCCUGUGGAGAACCGACUCCAUGUGAUUGGUGAGAGGCUGGCUGGAGUACCCCAUCUGCCAGGCCACGGUGAUGGCUCUGGAAUCAGCAAGUGACCCCAGCCAGGCUAAUCAGAACACUCUCUGGAGUUUUGCUGCUGGAGCUCUCAGGAAGAACUGCCUCUUUCCACUGGGCAGUUAAGCCGAAGACUAGAUAAGCUUAAAGCUGCUGCCACCAACGUCCCUGGCAGUAGGAGGGAAGCUGUCUGCAGAAAGAAAUCAAUACGCAGAGAAAGGCAGAAUGAGAGGUGGAAAGAGAAAGAGGGAGCCCUAGCAACACUGUGUGAGGCUCACUAUCUCAACUAGACUACAGCCUGCUAUAUCCCAGACCUCAGUAAUGUGAACCAAUAAAUUCUCUUUUACGUAAUUGUAUUUCCAGGUCUCCAAGGAAAAAUUCCUGAGUGCCUUAUUCUAAAAAUAUAAAUAACCUAGAAACUAGUUUUGAUUCAUCUAGAAAUCUCUGUAGAACAAGGCAGGAGGAUACAGGGAGAAAGGGAGAGAUGGAAGGAUGACAAGAAAGAAACUGACUAUAUGAGAAAGGCACAUAUACAAGUUCAAAAGCAAAGUUAUUUCCAAAGGAUAGCUUAGUUUUUGGAGCCAGACUGCCUUGGCUUGAAUUCUAGCUUGGGCACUUAUAAACUGUGAUUUUGAUCAAGCUAUUUAACCUCUUCAUGCCUUAGUUUUCUCAUCUGGAAAAAUGAGGAUGAUGAUAGCAUCUAUCUUACAGGGCUAAUGUGAGGAAUGAGUCAGGGCAAGGCCUGAAAUAUAACAGGCACUCAAAAAACACCAGCUAUACCAGGCACAGUGGUUCACACCUGUAAUUCCAGCAAUU